GGGAUCUGGCUGGCGGGCGCUUUGUCUCGCCUUCGCCACCUUAGGCUCUUUCUGUUAGUCUCCGCUGCUACUUCUUGGCUCUGGGAGGCCCGGUGGCUCUGCAGCAGCCUCGGCCACCCUGUGACCUGCGCCAGGAUACCCGGGAAGCCGAGGAACGGACUCCGUGGCUUUCGAGGAUGUGACUGUGAACUUUACCCAGCAGGAAUGGGCUUUGCUCAGAAGAAUCUCUACAGAGAAGUGAUGCAGGAAACCUGCAGGAACUGGCUUCUGUAGAAAUCAUAUGGUACAGAGACUGCGUGAAAGCAAAGAAGGUAGUCAGUAUGGACAAGUUGUCAGCCACAUUCCAAAUCUUGAUCUGAAUGAGAACAUUUCUACUGGAUUAAAACAAUGUGAACGCAGUAUUUGUGGAAAAGUCUUUGUACAUCAUUCCCUCCUUAAUAAGCACAUCCUAGCUCACUCAGGAUACAAACCAUAUGGAAAGAAGCAAUAUAAAUGUGAACAGUGUGGGAAAUUCUUCGUUUCUGUUCCAGGUGUUAGAAGACACAUGAUAAUGCACAGUGGAAAUCCAGCUUAUAAAUGUAUGAUAUGUGGGAAAGCUUUUCAUUUUCUCAAUUCAGUUGAAAGACAUCAGAGAACUCACACAGGAUAAAAACCCGAUAAAUGUAAACAAUGUGGUAAAGCGCUCACUGUUUCCAGUUCUUGUCUAAUACAUGGAUGAACUCACGCUGGAGAGAAGCCCUACGAAUGUAAGGAAUGUGGGAAAACACUCAGAUUUUCUUGUUCUUUUAAGAUGCUUGAAAGGACUCACACUGGAGAAAGAUGUACCAAAUGUGAUAAAGCCUUCAGCUGUUCCACUUCCCUUCAUGACCAUGGAAGCAUUCAUACUGGAGAGAGACCCUAAGAAUGGAAACAAUGUGGCAAAGCCUUUAGUCAUUUGAGUUCCUUUUGUAACCAUAGAAAUACUCAUACUGGAGAGAAACCCUAUGAAUGUAAACAAUGUGACCAAGCCUUCAGUCGCCUCAGUUCCCUUCACCUCCACGAAAGAAUUCAUACUGGAGAAAAACCCUAUGAAUGUAAGAGAUACGGUAAAGCCUACACUCGUUCCAGUUACCUUACGCUCCACUAAAGAAGUCAUGAUAUGGAGGUUGGGUGUAGUGACUCAGCCUAUAAUCCCAGCACUUUGGGAGGCCAAGGUGUGUGUAUUGCUUGAGCCCAGGAGUUCAUAACCAGCCCGAAUGAAAACAAUGUGAAACAACCUGGGCAUCGUGGUGAAACCCUGUCUCUAGAAAAAAUAAAAUAAUGCCAGGCCCGGUGGCUCACGCCAGCUACUCGGGAGGCUGAGGCAGGAGAAUGGCGUGAACCCGGGAGGCAGAGCUUGCAGUGAGCCGAGAUCGCACCACUGCACGCCAGCCUGGACGACAGAGCGAGACUCUGUCUCAAAACAAAAACAAAGAAAAUAAUUAGCUGGGCAUGGUGGCACAUUUCAGUUGUCUUAGUUCUUUUUCAAGGACAUAAAAGGCCACGGGGGGUUGGGGGGAAGCCCUGUGCAUGCGGAUCAUGAGGUCAGGAGAUCGCGACCAUCCUGGCCAACAUGGGGAAACCUCGUCUCUACUAAAAAUACAAAAAU